UGGGGAAUUUUGGACAAUGGGCGCAAGCCUGAUCCAGCAAUGCCGCGUGCAGGAUGAAGGCCUUCGGGUUGUAAACUGCUUUUGUACGGAGCGAAAAGGUCUGCCCUAAUACGGUGGGCUCAUGACGGUACCGUAAGAAUAAGCACCGGCUAACUACGUGCCAGCAGCCGCGGUAAUACGUAGGGUGCGAGCGUUAAUCGGAAUUACUGGGCGUAAAGCGUGCGCAGGCGGUUAUAUAAGACAGAGGUGAAAUCCCCGGGCUCAACCUGGGACCUGCAUUUGUGACUGUAUGGCUAGAGUACGGUAGAGAGGGAUGGAGUUCCGCGUGUAGCAGUGAAAUGCGUAGAUAUGCGGGGAAACACCGAUGGCGAAGGCAAUCCCCUGGACCUGUACUGACGCUCAUGCACGAGAGCGUGGGGGGCAAACA
rnacentral:rRNA from 1 species